AGAUUGAACGCUGGCGGUAGGCUUAACACAUGCAAGUCGAGCGAGAAAGUAUCUUCGGAUAUGAGUAUAGCGGCGGACGGGUGAGUAACGCGUAGGAAUCUACCUAGUAGAAGGGGAUAGCCCGGGGAAACUCGGAUUAAUACCGUAUACCUCCUAAGGGAGAAAGAGGGCCUCUCUUGAUGCUCUCGCUAUUAGAUGAGCCUGCGUAAGAUUAGCUUGUUGGUAAGGUAAUGGCUUACCAAGGCUACGAUCUUUAGCUGGUCUGAGAGGACGAUCAGCCACAUUGGGACUGAGACACGGCCCAGACUCCUACGGGAGGCAGCAGUGGGGAAUAUUGGACAAUGGGCGCAAGCCUGAUCCAGCCAUACCGCGUGUGUGAAGAAGGCCUUCGGGUUGUAAAGCACUUUAAGCAGGGAGAAAAAGUUAUAAGUUAAUACCUUAUAACCGUGAUGUUACCUGCAGAAUAAGCACCGGCUAAUUCCGUGCCAGCAGCCGCGGUAAUACGGAAGGUGCAAGCGUUAAUCGGAAUUACUGGGCGUAAAGCGCGCGUAGGUGGUUUGUUAAGUUGGAUGUGAAAGCCCUGGGCUCAACCUAGGAACUGCAUCCAAAACUAACUCACUAGAGUACGAUAGAGGGAGGUAGAAUUCAUAGUGUAGCGGUGGAAUGCGUAGAUAUUAUGAAGAAUACCAGUGGCGAAGGCGGCCUCCUGGAUCUGUACUGACACUGAGGUGCGAAAGCGUGGGUAGCGAACAGGAUUAGAUACCCUGGUAGUCCACGCCGUAAACGAUGACAACUAGCUGUUGGGAGACAAUGUCUUUCAGUGGCGCAGCUAACGUUUUAAGUUGUCCGCCUGGGGAGUACGGCCGCAAGGCUAAAACUCAAAUGAAUUGACGGGGACCCGCACAAGCGG
rnacentral:rRNA from 1 species